rnacentral:rRNA from 1 species
AGAGUUUGAUCCUGGCUCAGGAUGAACGCUAGCGGCAGGCUUAACACAUGCAAGUCGAGGGGCAGCAUAAUGGAUAGCAAUAUCUAUGGUGGCGACCGGCGCACGGGUGCGUAACGCGUAUGCAACCUACCUUUAACAGGGGGAUAACACUGAGAAAUUGGUACUAAUACCCCAUAAUAUCAUAGAAGGCAUCUUUUAUGGUUGAAAAUUCCGAUGGUUAGAGAUGGGCAUGCGUUGUAUUAGCUAGUUGGUGGGGUAACGGCUCACCAAGGCGACGAUACAUAGGGGGACUGAGAGGUUAACCCCCCACACUGGUACUGAGACACGGACCAGACUCCUACGGGAGGCAGCAGUGAGGAAUAUUGGUCAAUGGGCGGAAGCCUGAACCAGCCAUGCCGCGUGAAGGAAUAAGGCCCUAUGGGUCGUAAACUUCUUUAGACGCAGAGCAAUAAGGUCCACGAGUGGAUCGAUGAGAGUAUGCGUAGAAUAAGCAUCGGCUAACUCCGUGCCAGCAGCCGCGGUAAUACGGGGGAUGCGAGCGUUAUCCGGAUUUAUUGGGUUUAAAGGGUGCGUAGGCGGCAAGGUAAGUCAGCGGUGAAAGACCAGGGCUCAACUCUGGAAGUGCCGUUGAUACUGUCUGGCUAGAAUGAUUCCGCCGUGGGAGGAAUGAGUAGUGUAGCGGUGAAAUGCAUAGAUAUUACUCAGAACACCGAUUGCGAAGGCAUCUCACGAGGGGUUUAUUGACGCUGAGGCACGAAAGCGUGGGGAUCGAACAGGAUUAGAUACCCUGGUAGUCCACGCAGUAAACGAUGAUGGCUAACUGUCGGGCCUUAUGGGUUCGGCGGCCAAGCGAAAGCGAUAAGCCAUCCACCUGGGGAGUACGACCGCAAGGUUGAAACUCAAAGGAAUUGACGGGGGCC